CUCCUCCUUUACUGUGUUGAUUCCCUUUAUAUAUUUAAAUGUUUCUAUCAUAUCCCCCCUGUCUCGUCUUUCCUCCAAGCUAUACAUGUUAAGAUCCUUUAACCUUUCCUGGUAAGUUUUAUCCCGCAAUCCAUGAACCAGUUUAGUAGCCCUUCUCUGAACCCUCUCUAAGGUAUCAAUAUCCUUUUGAAGAUACGGUCUCCAGUACUGUGUACAAUACUCCAAGUGAGGUCUCACCAGUGUUCUGUAUAAUGGCAUGAGCACUUCCCUCUGAGC
rnacentral:lncRNA from 1 species